rfam:Picea glauca, whole genome shotgun sequence.
ACAUGCUUACAACAUAGCAUUAAUGCACCGGAUACCAUUAGAACUCCGCAGUUAAGCACGCUUGAGAUAGAGUAGUACUUGGAUGGGUGACCACCCGGGAAGUCCUAGUAUUUUACAUGCC